rnacentral:rRNA from 1 species
UACGUAGGGUGCAAGCGUUGUCCGGAAUUUAUUGGGCGUAAAGAGCUCGUAGGCGGUCUGUCGCGUCGGCUGUGAAACCUUGGGGCUCAACCCCAAGCCUGCAGUCGAUACGGGCAGACUAGAGUGCGGUAGGGGAGACUGGAAUCCUGGUGUAGCGGUGAAAUGCGCAGAUAUCAGGAGGAACACCGGUGGCGAAGGCGGGUCUCUGGGCCGUAACUGACGCUGAGGAGCGAAAGCGUGGGGAGCGAACAGG